ACGUAGGGUGCGAGCGUUAAUCGGAAUCACUGGGCUUAAAGGGCGCGUAGGCGGGCCCGCAAGUCUCUUGUGAAAGCCCCCGGCUCAACCGGGGAACAGCGGGGGAAACUGCGGGUCUUGAGGCAGGUAGGGGCGGAUGGAACUGGCGGUGGAGCGGUGGAAUGCGUAGAUAUCGACAGGAACGCCGAUGGCGAAGGCAGUCCACUGGGCCUGUCCUGACGCUCAGGCGCGAAAGCGUGGGGAGCAAACAG
rnacentral:rRNA from 1 species